rnacentral:lncRNA from 1 species
GGUUCUGCCUGGUGCAGUCAAUCCAGCCCCGAAUUCAAAUUGCUGCAUUGCUCUCCAAGCAACUAACAAAGAUUGUAUAUGUAACGCCCUUCGAGCAGCCACCACAUUUACCACUACUUGCAACCUCCCCUCUUUAGAUUGUGGUAAGACAUGAUCGAUAAAUUCCCUUUUUGUUAAAAAGAUAAAAAUAUUUUUAGAUUAUUCUAUUUAAACAUAAUUUGAACGAAAUGAUAGAUUUGUAGUUAUGGUCAAUUAAUUAGCCAGUGUGGUGUUUAUCUUUACCUCCCCUCUUUAGAUCGUGGUAAGACAUGAUCAAUAAAUUCCCUCUUUGUUAAAAAAUAAAAGAUUUUUAGAUUAUUCUAUUUAAACAUAAUUUGAACGAAAUGAUAGAUUUGUAAUAUGGUCAAUUAAUUAGUCAGUGUGGUGUUUAUCUUUUGUCGUUAGAUUUGUGUGGACUGAGUUUAUGAACUGUGCAG